rnacentral:rRNA from 1 species
UACAGAGGGUGCAAGCGUUGUUCGGAAUUAUUGGGCGUAAAGCGCGUGUAGGCGGCUUUGCAAGUCGGGUGUGAAAGCCCUCGGCUCAACCGAGGAAGUGCGCCCGAAACUGCAGAGCUUGAGUACCGGAGAGGAUGGCGGAAUUCCCCAAGGUAGAGGUGAAAUUCGUAGAUAUGGGGAGGAACACCGGUGGCGAAGGCGGCCAUCUGGACGGAUACUGACGCUGAGACGCGAAAGCGUGGGUAGCAAACAGGG